rnacentral:rRNA from 1 species
CCCUGGCUCAGGACGAACGCUGGCGGCGUGCCUAAUACAUGCAAGUCGAGCGAAUCAACAGGAGCUUGCUCCUGUUGGUUAGCGGCGGACGGGUGAGUAACACGUGGGCAACCUGCCUGUAAGACUGGGAUAACACCGGGAAACCGGUGCUAAUACCGGAUAAUCCUUUUCCUCUCAUGAGGAAAAGCUGAAAGUCGGUUUCGGCUGACACUUACAGAUGGGCCCGCGGCGCAUUAGCUAGUUGGUGAGGUAACGGCUCACCAAGGCGACGAUGCGUAGCCGACCUGAGAGGGUGAUCGGCCACACUGGGACUGAGACACGGCCCAGACUCCUACGGGAGGCAGCAGUAGGGAAUCUUCCACAAUGGACGAAAGUCUGAUGGAGCAACGCCGCGUGAGCGAUGAAGGCCUUCGGGUCGUAAAGCUCUGUUGUUAGGGAAGAACAAGUACCGGAGUAACUGCCGGUACCUUGACGGUACCUAACCAGAAAGCCACGGCUA